UACGGGGGGGGCAAGCGUUGUUCGGAAUUACUGGGCGUAAAGGGCUCGUAGGCGGCCAACUAAGUCAGACGUGAAAUCCCUCGGCUUAACCGGGGAACUGCAUCUGAUACUGGAUGGCUUGAGUUCGGGAGAGGGAUGCGGAAUUCCAGGUGUAGCGGUGAAAUGCGUAGAUAUCUGGAGGAAUACCGGUGGCGAAGGCGGCAUCCUGGACCGACAUUGACGCUGAACGGCGAAAGCUAGGGGAGCAAACGGG
rnacentral:rRNA from 1 species